UAAUUUCUAAAGCAGGAUUCAUUGUUACAUGAAAAAGAGCAACCAGCACAUUAAUCAAAAUGUUUUUUUUUUGUGUUCCAAUGCAGAAAGAAAGUCUUCAAGUUUAAAACAACAUGAGAUUGAGUAAAUGAUGAUUUGGGUGAACUGCAUGUUGAAAAUGCAUGUUGAGUUUGCCCUCUGUGGAUGGAAAUGUGGCCUUAAACCAGUCCGCCUGUGUUUACCGCCCCUCUCUUUUGCUCUCGCAUCCCCCUCUCUCUGUCUUUUUCCACAAGAACAGGGUUGUAGUUUACUCAUAAAUUCAUCAGGCACAAGGUUUGCACGUAACAAUUUGUGACUCGUGUGUCUUUUCAUUUUAGGGAUAGUAGGACAUGGACACCGCCGCAAAACAGCAUGCUGUAUACUGUAAUGAAGUUGAUUUUUUAAUGUUCCUGCCACACAGGAUAAAAGGCAGGCUAAUCACAAAGACCAGCCCACCCCCCCCCAAUCAGUUGCUAUUUAUUUUGACUGGAAGCUCCGGCUAAAAGCAAUGGCAGUGAGCGUGAAGCAAUUCAGUCGAAUCAGAGCUCGCUAGGUUUUGAUUUGGUGUUUGUGUGUGUAUGGCAAUGUUAAAUUCCUCACUGAAUGAUGGAAAGCCAUGUGUGCUUUGUUCAGAGAGGUACUUCAUCGUAACCUCCUCUUAUUUAGUCUCUUUUUACAGGUACUGAAAUGUCUAUUAACAGAUUGGCUGUUGUUCCCUGUGGUUGGCAUGAAAGGAGUUAUCAGGGUAACAUUAACUUUUAACGCAUCUAUAAAUUUACAAUUAAAUGGCUUCUUGGCUGUGGAUAGUGCCGUCUUCUCUAGACUGUCUUUCCACAGGGUGGUGAUAGCAUGUUGGUGUUGUCCUGAAGCUUGCCUGAAGACUGCCUUAAGGGGAACUCCUCAGAGGAGGCCAUGAGCCUACUGAACUUCCCUCCCUUCACCCCACAUCAGCCAAUCGGCUUCGAGCAACUACGCAAGCCCGGCUAACCGCUCUGGAAGAUGUUUCUCUGAAAUAGAAGAAAGCCAUACGGGUUUGGAACAACAUAAGGGUUCCGCUUUGUGUGAACGUCCUGUCUGUCUCAGACUGGUUGGAAAGGUUGGAAGAUUGCUGAUUUCCCCGAAGAACAAACCGUACCUGCAGGCCCCAUUAAAGCCAUCUGUAGCGUGUGUCCAUGUUUAUCUGCUCCCCCAUCCUUGGGGAAGAAUCCCCCCCACCACCGCACCACCGGACUCCAGCUUCUUACCAAAGACCUAUGGCACAUGUCCCCAAAGUGCCUGGCCCCGAUGGCCCCCCAUAGGUUGGCGCCACGGUGUGCCAACUCCCUUCCUCUGCCAGCAACCUUCAGGUCCAUUACCGUUCGCUAUCAGUGGGGACCAAGCUGGGGGAGCCGACAAAAGUGGCAUUUCCAGAGCGCAUCAACAUACUAUCCCUCAAGCGCUUCAGGCCUCGUAAAAUUGGACUUAUGGCUCGGUUGCCAGCAUAAAUAAGUCCCUUUGAUAGUUAGGGGAAGAAGUUAUGACACUCUUGGGUACGCGUGAGGGACAGUGGCACUGUCAUCUCAUUCCUGCUACCCUGGCACCCUGGUGCCUCUGAUCUUUCUGCCGAUUCAGGGCACGCUCUCUUCAUUACCGCCGGCCACCGGGGACUUGUUUUUUCUGCAAGAUUAAUGAGUGCCGCGGAAAUUCUCCAGCGCAUCUCGAUAAUUAAGUCUUUGUUUAUCAAAAAACAAGUUAUAUUAGGAGCAGGAAAUUCGCAGUAAUUAUUCAUAAUCCUAACAAUUCAAGUGUAGCUACCUCAUUUGCCUGUGUAAUUCUGCUUUUUAAUUUCUUGCAUACAUUUGCAUAUUAAUUUUGCCCGUUGGCUGCUGCAGGCCUCUGACAGUAAUUUUUUUCCCCCUUUCCGCGUGAUGUUUUUCACAGGGUGAGGCUCAGUCGGGUGGCAUUUCGGCUGGGUGUAAUGAUAAAUUAUGAAUUUUUCUAAUUUGCUGCAUAAUGAAGUAACCCCUUCCGAUCCAUUUCCUCUUCCUGCGCUGCAGCUUUAGGCCCAUCAGAUGGUUGUCGGAGCGUGUUUCUUUAUCUCUUUGAAAUGGCCAUGUGGUCAUUAGAGACGGCGGUGCCACGCGGGUGUCAAAGGCUGUUUCUCCAGUCGGGGUGAGAGAUCGUCAGCUCCCUGGCAUCCGCUCCAGCUAUGCGCAAUGCCUAUCCUCAUUUCCACUUUGCAAAUGGUGUCAACUCCCAUUUCCAUCGAGCCAUUCCAGAAGAGACUCAGGACCUGUGUCCAGCGCGAGUUGUGUACACUGUGUACGAGCGUUCGAGCAUUUGUUGAUGAACGCAUCUCAAAGACACACUGACGUCCUCAAAUGUUUUUCGUGCGGUCUUUAAAGCGUUUACUGUUACACAAAGUCGACUGGGGCUGUCAGAACAGAAUGAAUAUUGAUGAUCUUAAGCAUCAUGAAAGCAGGAUGUUAUGCUUGAAAUUCAUCAGCCCACUUAAAGCACAUCAAAGCCACGUUGCACACUGAGGCACUUUGGAACUUUUAUGCUAAAGUUUGGGGUUCUGUUAUGAGUUUGACAGAUAAUCUGCUAUCUGAACCCUGGUACGCACCAAACAAGUGGACCGAGACCGUUGAGAGAUGGGUCUUGGUCCGCUUCCAAACGAACUCUGCUGCAGUUCGAAUGAAAUAUUAAUGCAACACAGACCAAAGAAUGCUCGAGCAUACCUGUUUUUUCUCGUCAUAGUCGCAAUGUUGCCCAUGACAGGACUCAGGACUAGAAUCAGAACCGCGUCUCCUCACAGAAGAUCUUCGUUUGUGUGUGUGAUGGAGGGAUUCCUGCUGCUGUUUUGACUCCUUUGCAAAUUUUAUAAGCUUCUCAGUUCUCAGCUGGUCAAAAUACCAUCAUGUAGGCUAUGCACAUUAAGCCCAGCACACAGCAUUACAGCAUUGUUUUGGAUGUUCAGUAAGUUCUGUCAUGAAAUAUAUCGAUCAAUCAGGUUGUGAACAUGUCCCUGUGGCUUUAGGUUCGGUAUCUUUAGGUUUGGUGUUAAAAUGCCAAUGUGAACACUAAGUGGACCAGGAUUUUUUUUUUUUUUGGUCCUGGACAAAAUGAAUCAAGCAAACCGAACUACAAGUGUGAACUCACCCUUAUAAUGAACAAACCUAAAAAAAAAGCUGUUAUUGACUGGAAAUCAGCAUGUGUAAAUGAAUCAUUAUUCUGAGUCAGUUCAUGUCAAUAAAAUGUUGAGUUGGUUCACAAAACUGGUUUGAAUGAUUUGUUCAUGAAUAAUAUUAAUAACGUUCCAUUUUGGGGUUGCUUCUCACACAAAACUAUUGUAUGGCUUCAGAAGACUUAGAAUAUAGAGCACAGGUAAUAUGGGUCACAUUCAAUGUAACUUUAUUAUGUUUUUGUUGUCCUUUUUUAAGCUUUAAAGCUUCAGUCCACAUUGAAUUUAACCACAUGGAAUUGAGCGUCUUAAAUCUCUGUGAACUCUGGGAAUCAUUCUUUUAAAUAACUUCAUUUUCUCUGUUUUUUAUGGAAAACUUUUAGGCUGUUUAUAGUUCUUAAGACACCAUCGAAGCUCCUAUAGGGAGCCUGACCAUUAGCCGUCUGCCUCUCCUCUACACAAGAAGAAAUCUCAGAGCACUUUUCACCUUGCCAAACCACCUGUCAAAAGCAAAAUUUAUAUUCUAUAUUGCUGUUUAUGUUUUCUGUUGGCAAUGCGACAGAUGUGAGAGUCGCCAAACUGCUAUGAUACGAUGAUACCACCGUAACAAGAAAACGAGUCCUCUGAGUGCACCGUUUGUUUGCACUCGGUUUUUCCUCAAUAUUCCCAUUUUGCCGCCUGUGAAUCUCACUUUUCUAGUGUGUUUCUGCAGUCAAACAGAUACGGGGUCUAUUUCCUCUAAUCUAGUCUCCUUGUGACUUUGAUAGUGGGUCCGCAGGGGUAUGUUUUGCUGCAUUCAUGUCCAUAUUGCUGCACCAUGUACAGAUUACAAAAUAUGCAUUCUUCUUGUGUUCAAUUGAUUGUGAUGCUUAAAGGGGAU